rnacentral:misc_RNA from 1 species
AGCAAAGUGAAAAUAUUUUCUCGCUUUGAUAUACAUGUUCAAUAUAUUAGACUAGACAAUUUCUCUCUUGUUUGUUAGAAAGAGCAAAUCCUCUCAAAAUAGGUUGCUUCUUGUUUCUCUCUCAAACUCGUCGAGUUUUGUUUCCUGAUAGUCCUCCACUGUCUUCGGACAGGGGAAGGCAUCUUUAGGAUUCCAUUUGCUGGGUUUUUUGUGGUUGGUCAGGCUGGGGUAGUCAGGCUGGGUUAGGGCUUCUUGCCCUCCCAUCUGGCUUGUUCAUAGGAUGAGUUUGUUGGCUUUGAGUAACAGAUCUUCGAUCAUGCAUGUAAAGGGUAAUCUAGUGUAGAUUUAUUAGGAGCAAGCUGCGAAUUGAAGCUUAGCUUGGGUUUGUGGUUUCCUUGUGACCCUUGUUCAAUGAAAGACUUUCGGUGCUUGGGAGAAGCUCGACAGUAGGCUUAUUUGGGGAUUUGUAGAGCCAGCAUUAAAAGGGUUGCUGGCUUCC